rnacentral:rRNA from 1 species
GAUCAUGGCUCAGGAUGAACGCUAGCUACAGGCUUAACACAUGCAAGUCGGAGGGGCAUCAGUUUGGUUUGCUUGCAAACCAAAGCUGGCGACCGGCGCACGGGUGAGUAACACGUAUCCAACCUACCUCAUACUCGGGGAUAGCCUUUCGAAAGAAAGAUUAAUAUCCGAUAGCAUAUAUUUCCCGCAUGGGUUUUAUAUUAAAGAAAUUCGGUAUGAGAUGGGGAUGCGUUCCAUUAGUUUGGG